AUCCCACCCGAAUAAAGGAAAAAUCUCUAGAGGCUCACCAUCCAGUUAAGUUCUACACCAAUUGCUCAGUGUGGCUGAGGCAAAGGCCAGUGCAAUUACAGGUCACGAUUUUCGAACCUGCUCUGGGGGACGCAACAACGGGGAAAGGACGGACCGCCACAUGUGGGACGCGAUCCCCGGGCGCAGAAACUGGGAAACGAAAUGCCACACGCCUGCCACAACAACGGGACGGGCCGCCACUUUCGGGACGCGAACCCUGGGCGCAGAAACGGGGAAAUGAAACGCCACAACAACGGGACAGUUCUGGUUAGGAAAAGAAGAACGGGGAAAGCAACCGUCAUAAGUGGGACACGCCAACAACAGCGGGACGUUUGUGGUUAGGAAGAGAAUAACGAGGAAAGGAACUGCAACACGCGGGACGUGAUCCCCGGUCUCCGGGGUGAAAGUCCUGUG